GGUUCAUUUUGCAGUUUUUAUUGGAGCAAUACAUAUAAAGAAAGGUAAGCGAUCACACAGAUAUGUACAUUAAAUAUAAAUAUUUCAAUUACAGUUGUACCUACUAAAAUACAUUCUCGAAGGAAUCUUCAAUAUCAGGAGCCUGUAGUUUGAAGUGGUUGUCGAUUAUUGUUGUCUGCUAUAGUUUUAGCUGUUUGUUGUUCAAUAUCAUAAAUUUGGCCGUUGGGUUUUUGUUUGAAUUAUUUAACAUGUUACAUACAAGUUUUGUCUUACUGACUUCAAUCAUUUACACUUUAAAGGUAUUUUUUCAUGCCAACUGUUAUAUCCACUCCAGUAUUUAUUGACCUUUCCUGGUCUCAUCAUAAAAUACAAAUCUCGGAUUU
rnacentral:lncRNA from 1 species